AUUGAACGCUGGCGGCAUGCCUUACACAUGCAAGUCGAACGGCAGCACGGGAGCAAUCCUGGUGGCGAGUGGCGAACGGGUGAGUAAAGUAGCGGAACGUGCCCCGUCGUGGGGGAUAACGUAGCGAAAGUUACGCUAAUACCGCAUACGAUCUAUGGCUGAAAGCGGGGGAUCGCAAGACCUCGCGCGAUUGGAGCGGCCGAUAUCAGAGUAGGAAGUUGGUGGGGUAAAGGCUCACCAAGCCGACGAUCUGUAGCUGGUCUGAGAGGACGACCAGCCACACUGGGACUGAGACACGGCCCAGACUCCUACGGGAGGCAGCAGUGGGGAAUUUUGGACAAUGGGCGAAAGCCUGAUCCAGCCAUGCCGCGUGCAGGAUGAAGGCCUUCGGGUUGUAAACUGCUUUUGUACGGAACGAAAAGGUUUGCCUAAUAAGCUGAGCUCAUGACGGUACCGUAAGAAUAAGCACCGGCUAACUGCGUGCCAGCCGCCGCGGUAA
rnacentral:rRNA from 1 species